AUAAAAAUAAAAUAAACACCAAGCUGACAAGAGCAGGAAUAUAGCAUUUAGAAAAAAAGAGAAAAAAAGAACACAAAUAGAUAAAUAAUUUAAACCAGUGAACGCUGCAAAUUAAGCCCUAAAACGGAUGUAUCUAAAUGGAUGACUCACUUCUUAUUUUGGUCCAUUUUAGAUUUGUAUUGAGUGGUGUGAAUAAGAAUAAUGCAUCUUGAGGACUACUGCAGUCACAAGAACAUUUUAAGGAUGUGAUUAGGGCUUUUAGGUUUUAUCCUCACUGUCAUUCUAAAGGUUUGUAUAAUGAUCAUGCCUAUUCAAUCUGAUUUCCGCUUCUUUGACCUAUGAUAUGUCAGCUGAUUUUGUGUUGAGAGUUACAGGUGCUGCUGGAUGCUGGAAAACUGACAGGCUGACCACUCACCAGGCCCACCAGCACCCUCUGCUGUUGGUCUUCCUCCUGAAACAGUGGAACUACACGCCUAUCUGAAAGGACGGAAAGAAGAUUCUAUAUGUAGGAACUGAAAAAUAAGCUGUGUGGGGACUGACAAGCUUUAAGUGAAAGAAACAUCCUGUCCUAAAAGCUCUAUCACAGGAUUUGGCUGCAGGUAGACCAGCAUGCAGUGCAGGGCAGCGAGCCGUUGGGCCUCAGGCCUGUCUGAACUGAGAAG